rnacentral:lncRNA from 1 species
CUCCAACUCUGGGCUUCCAUGUGAUCUUUGGUGGAACAUGGGCCUUGGAUUUCAACACAGACACCAGCUGUGGUAGGACCACAGAUUCUGACAUGGUCCUCUGUAGCAGUCAGAUCUGGAUGUCACCAUUGCCCCAGCUGUCAGUGCAGGCCCCUCAGAUCUGCACGGCCCUAGCAACAGGGUGGCCCUUAGACACUAGCAUGGCCCCAGACCUCAGGCAUCCGAAUGGCUUUUGAUGGUAACAGGAGCCUCAGACAUCAACACAGACCCUGGCUGCAGUAGGGCCACAGACCCAGACAUGGUCUUCAGCUGUAGCUGUGGCCCAGAUGUCAUUAUGUCAUCGGCGGCAGCUCAGGCCAAUCAGGUCUGUGUGGCCACAGCUGUAGCAUGGCCCUGGGACACCAACAUGAACUCAUGUAGCUGAUCUGACCCGGGGCAUCCACACUGCCCUCAAUGGCAACAGGAGCUACAGACAUCAACCCAGACCCUUUCUGCUAUAUACACAGACCCAGACAUGGCCCUUGGCAACAGCCCUGGCCUGGUGUCACCAUGGCUCCAGGUGGCAAGCAGGCCACCCACAUCAGACUACUCCUCAAUACCUUCAUUUUCUUGAUUGGGGUUCUCUUCUCAGAUGACUUUAGUUGUGUCAAGUUGACAUAAAAGUAACUAUCCAGCACAGUGGCCCUUGUAAAUCUCUUCUUCCCAGACUUCAGCAUCUCACUGGUUAAAGUAAAGUAAACCCAGAGGGUUGCUAAAGCUUUGGCCAGAUCCAAGUAAUCAACAGUGCCAUGCGUGUGACAGAGGAACAAGAUCUGGGACAGAUGAGGAUCUCAGAGCUCUCAGCCACGGUUGAGCAGAUCUCUGGGGAUGCUUCCAUAUCCGAUCCAUAGCGAAGUAAGGCUUGUUGCUCAGGGGCUCCAGAAUUCAGCCAAUCAAGCUUUGGCAAAUGGUUGGAGGUCAGAGCCAUGGAUCAUUGACACUUAUUUCAACCGCAACCCAGGAAGAAAUCAUUCCUCUGCCAGUUUCUACUCUACUGAAGCUCUUCUCAGCCAAUCAGGAUGUUCAGAAGGGGAACAAAGCAGUCUGGACACAUCAGCUGCUGUGCAUGUGUGAAAUGAAGCUGAUUGGGCUGAGGCCUGCAUGCCUGCCCCGUUUUAUCUUUGGAACACAUUCCUCAUCCUAGGAAGAAUUAAUGUCUGCUAUCAAGGGCUUACUGUCAGCAUCUCUGUUGUCCCUUUGAAUGUACUGUUGACUGGGAUCAGCCUGCAAGAUUGAUCUCAAGCAAGUGAAAUUGGGUUGAAAAUAAUUCUAAUCUUAGCCAUGAAGGAUGGCCGUGUUGAGGCUGGAUGCAGAUUUUCCUGGGGGAAUGAAGGUUUGUGAAUCAUGCAGGGGGCUGUUACAUCACUAUCCACUGUAAAACCGCAUCAGUCAUGUGUGUCCUAAAUCAGAAAGAAUGGCUCAGGACAGAGAUGAAAGGUAACAUGAGGUCCGAGGAGAAGGCUCAGUGGGCCAAGUGCUGCCCCGAAGGUUGAGGACCUGAGUGUGGAUAUUUGGAAACUAGAUAAAACCAGAUGCUUAGUCCCAGCACUCCUAUGGUGAGAUACUGGAGUGGAUACUGGAGAGUCUCCAGCUAGUCAGUAGCAUACAGUAGUGAACACAAGUGCCUUGUCUCAAAAGAAGUGGAAGAUGAGGACUAACAUAUGAGGUUUCCCACUGACCUACACACACACACACACACACACACACACACACACACACUUUAAAAAUGAAAUAAAAUUACAUAUCUAUCCGUUAUAAGUGUAUGU